GCCGAAGUGGCGGAACUGGUAUACGCGCACGGUUUAGGACCGUGUUCCCAAAAGGAAUGGAGGUUCAAGUCCUCUCUUCGGCACUA
rnacentral:tRNA from 1 species